rnacentral:rRNA from 1 species
GCGGCGGACGGGUGAGUAACGCGUGGGCAACCUACCUCUAUCUGGGGGAUAACACAGGGAAACUUGUGCUAAUACCGCAUAACAUAUUGAAAGGACAUCCUUUUAAUAUCAAAGGAGUAAUCCGGUGGAGAGAUGGGCCCGCGUCCAAUUAGCUAGUUGGUGAGAUAACAGCCCACCAAGGCGACGAUUGGUAGCCGAACUGAGAGGUUGAUCGGCCACAUUGGGACUGAGACACGGCCCAGACUCCUACGGGAGGCAGCAGUGGGGAAUAUUGCGCAAUAGGGGGGAAACCCUGACGCAGCAACGCCGCGUGAAGGAUGAAGGUUUUCGGAUCGUAAACUUCUUUGAUGAGGGACGAAACAAAUGACGGUACCUCAAAAACAAGCCACGGCUAACUACGUGCCAGCCGCCGC